rnacentral:rRNA from 1 species
GCAAGUCGAGGGGUAACAGGGAGCUUGCUCCGCUGACGACCGGCGCACGGGUGCGUAACGCGUAUAGAACUUACCUUUUACAGAGGGAUAGCCUUUAGAAAUGAAGAUUAAUACCUCAUAGUAUUGAGAACUGGCAUCAGUUUUUAAUUAAAGAUUUAUCGGUAAAAGAUGGCUAUGCGUCCUAUUAGUUAGAUGGUAAGGUAACGGCUUACCAUGACAAUGAUAGGUAGGGGGUCUGAGAGGAUUAUC